AUACGUAGGGGGCUAGCGUUAUCCGGAUUUACUGGGCGUAAAGGGUGCGUAGGUGGUCUCUUAAGUCAGGAGUGAAAGGCUACGGCUUAACCGUAGUAAGCUCUUGAAACUGGGAAACUUGAGUGCAGGAGAGGAAAGUGGAAUUCCUAGUGUAGCGGUGAAAUGCGUAGAUAUUAGGAGGAACACCAGUAGCGAAGGCGACUUACUGGACGAUAACUGACGCUGAGGCUC
rnacentral:rRNA from 1 species